CACUGUGAAGCUAAAUUUAGGGAUCAGCAUUAGCCUUUUAAGCUAAAGAAUGGUGGCUCCUAACCACCCCCAGUGA
rnacentral:tRNA from 1 species